AGGUGGUCAGGUAGAGAAUACUCAGGCGCUUGAGAGAACUCGGGUGAAGGAACUAGGCAAAAUGGUGCCGUAACUUCGGGAGAAGGCACGCUGGCGGUAGGUAAAGUCCCUUGCGGACGGCGCUGAAGCCAGUCGAAGAUACCAGCUGGCUGCAACUGUUUAUUAAAAACACAGCACUGUGCAAACACGAAAGUGGACGUAUACGGUGUGACGCCUGCCCGGUGCUGGAAGGUUAA
rnacentral:rRNA from 1 species